GUGCCAGCAGCCGCGGUAAGACGAACCGUGCGAACGUUAUUCGGAUUCACUGGGCUUAAAGGGCGCGUAGGCGGCUCCGCGAGUCGGGGGUGAAAUCGUUCCGCUCAACGGGACAAGGGCCUCCGAGACCGCGGGACUCGAGGGGGAUAGGGGUGCGCGGAACUUCCGGUGGAGCGGUGAAAUGCGUAGAUAUCGGAAGGAACGCCGGUGGCGAAAGCGGCGCACUGGAUCCCUACUGACGCUGAGGCGCGAAAGCCAGGGGAGCAAACGGGAUUAGAUACCCGCGUAGUCC
rnacentral:rRNA from 1 species